rnacentral:rRNA from 1 species
GAUGAACGCUGGCGGCGUGCCUAAUACAUGCAAGUCGAGCGAACGGACGAGAAGCUUGCUUCUCUGAUGUUAGCGGCGGACGGGUGAGUAACACGUGGAUAACCUACCUAUAAGACUGGGAUAACUUCGGGAAACCGGAGCUAAUACCGGAUAAUAUUUUGAACCGCAUGGUUCAAAAGUGAAAGACGGUCUUGCUGUCACUUAUAGAUGGAUCCGCGCUGCAUUAGCUAGUUGGAAGGUAACGGCUUAUCAAGGCAACGAUGCAUAGCCGACCUGAGAGGGUGAUCGCCGACACUGGAGCUGAGACACGGUCCAGACUCCUACGGGAGGGAGCAGUAGGGAAUCUUCCGCAAUGGGCGAAAGCCUGACGGAGCAACGCCGCGUGAGUGAUGAAGGUCUUCGGAUCGUAAAACUCUGUUAUUAGGGAAGAACAGAUGUGUAAGUAACUGUGCACAUCUUGACGGUACCUAAUCAGAAAGCCACGGCUAACUACGUG